rnacentral:rRNA from 1 species
GAUGAACGCUGGCGGCGUGCCUAAUACAUGCAAGUCGAGCGAACAGACGAGGAGCUUGCUCCUCUGACGUUAGCGGCGGACGGGUGAGUAACACGUGGAUAACCUACCUAUAAGACUGGGAUAACUUCGGGAAACCGGAGCUAAUACCGGAUAAUAUAUUGAACCGCAUGGGUCAGUAGUGAAAGACGGUUUUGCUGUCACUUAGAGAUGGAUCCGCGCCGCAUUAGCUAGUUGGUAAGGUAAGGGCUUACCAAGGCGACGAUGCGUAGCCGACCUGAGAGGGUGAUCGGCCACACUGGAACUGAGACACGGUCCAGACUCCUACGGGAGGCAGCAGUAGGGAAUCUUCCGCAAUGGGCGAAAGCCUGACGGAGCAACGCCGCGUGAGUGCUGAAGGUCUUCGGAUCGUAAAACUCUGUUAUUAGGGAAGAACAAAUGUGUAAGUAACUAUGCACGUCUUGACGGUACCUAAUCAGAAAGCCCCGGCUAACUACGUG